rnacentral:rRNA from 1 species
UACAGAGGUCCCAAGCGUUGUUCGGAUUCACUGGGCGUAAAGCGCACGUAGGCGGCUUUUUAAGUCAGGGGUGAAAUCCUGGAGCUCAACUCCAGAACUGCCUUUGAUACUGAGAGCUUGAGUCCGGGAGAGGUGAGUGGAACUGCGAGUGUAGAGGUGAAAUUCGUAGAUAUUCGCAAGAACACCAGUGGCGAAGGCGGCUCACUGGCCCGGUACUGACGCUGAGGUGCGAAAGCGUGGGGAGCAAACAGG